CCAUGCCUAUCAACUAUAGAAUGGACAAACUAAAUAUGACAUAUUCAUGCCAUGAAAUACUAUUAAGCAGUAAAAAGGAACAAGGCGGUGAUAGGUAGGUACUUUAAUAGCACUGUGUCCAGGGAAAGUGGUCAGGCACAGAGAAGCAGGUAUUGCUGGUUCCACUUCCAUGACACUUCUAGAAAUAGUAUAAAUUUACUAAAACUCUCACACAUGUAUACUUCAAAUGAGUGAACUUCUGGUUUGCAAAUUAUACACAAGCUAUUUUUAUAAAUGGGAACAUAUUCUAAACACUGCUGCAUGCUAUGCUUUUGUUUAUCUCCACACUUUUACCUUGCAGGGAGUUCUGCAGCAGCUCUUCCUGUUUUUAGUGGUUACACACUAGCUGAGGUAGUCAGUCUGCUAAGCUCAGUUUUGAAAGCCUCUCUCUGCUUCCCUUCCCCUCUCCCCUCCCUUACUUCCAGGGAGGAGCCUUUCCUAAGUGGGGCUGCGACGCUGAUGGUGACCCACCCACACGCAAAGGUGGACGAGAAGCAGCAGUACGUCUCAGCCCCUGGAUCAGUCCUCACUCAUGAAGGACACUCCCCAGUUCCCUGGCUCCUGGUGGAACAACGGCAGCUGCCGGAUGUGGACAGGUUGUCACCAUCAGGGGAGCACUUCCUGAGUCUCAGAUGGACAAAGACACCCAACAAGACAAGGCUACUGUUCCUUGCUGAGGUCUGAGAUAACCAAGAAGGUUCGGAUCCUACAAAUGCACAGCUUGUAAUAUCAUUUCAUCUCACAUUAGUGACGAACUAGAGUAUCAUUAAGGAUGUGGGAUUCUUCCCACAAGGAUCAUUAAAACGAACCUUGUCACAGUGCAGUUGCCUACAUUGGCAAAGGGCAGCAGAGGCAUAGCAGGUCAGCCUAUUGGUCUGAGGCCACGGCAACAGCAGAAACGCUCCUGGAGAAGGCAGAACAUGCUUUUUACCCUUUGACUUACGUUGGGCCUAAAAAAACAGUAUCAUCCUCUGGCCCAUAGAAGAAUAUGGAGGGCUCAGCGUGUCGGCGCAAGCCUGCACCAUAACCUUCUCUUGGGUUCCUUGACAAUGGCGGGACAGUUCCCCUUGGGGUAGCUACUGCCACCAGCCCCCCGCCAGGGUGUGGUCAGGCUAGAUGCUUUCGCUUAGGCAUCAGCUGGGACCCGAGCCUGCUGGAUCCAGGAAGGAAGCAGUCGGCCAGCCAAGCCAGGCCUGCGGUAGCCAAACUCACAGUUGUGGGUUACCGACCAAACUCUGCCCGUCAAGCCCCCACUACAUCACCGACCCAGCCAGCCUUCAGCUGCAGAAGCAGAUAGAUGCUUAUGAUCGACAGACUUUCCACUGAGUUUGGGGUGGCUGCAUAUGCAAGAGUUGAUGCAGUGGGCAAUGGGGAAGAGUAAGAAGCCAGAGAAACAGCGCAGGCUAGGUUUUCCCUCAUUCCACCCCUGAACAAGUUGGGGCAACAUACAGAACCUAUUUAUGAUGUUCACAAUGCAGUAGAAAGCUCUCCAUAUCUUCUCCCAAGAAUACCCCUACUGCCAUGUCCCUCAGUGGGACACUUCCAAGAAGUGUGGCACACAGUCUGCCACAGACCCCCAGCGAAACUGAGGCACACAUGGUGUCCCCUCCUAACUGCACUCCCCACACCCCCAUUGUGCCUCUGGGUAUCGCUGCCCAUAUAAAUGCUUGCAUCCCAAUUCCUGACCCAAACAAAGACAGCCUCAUUUUUACAAGUAACGACUAACACUCCUUGAGCACUUGGAGGUUGUGGAUGCACGACACACAGAUGACUUCCUUCCAUGCCUCUGUUUUCUCUCCCGUAAAAUGGAGACAAGGGCACUGCCUGUCUACCUCUCCUGAGGUCAGAACGUGCAAUGUGUUUAAAACUGGACCUGACUCACAGCCUGCCGUCCAUCCAUGCUGUUUAUUUUCAAGCAAGACUUACGUACCUGCUACAAUCGGG
rnacentral:lncRNA from 1 species